rnacentral:lncRNA from 1 species
UGAUUUUAUGUUUAGACAUUUUAAUAUUAAGGUUGGAGUGUGUGAUUUUUCAAUCCAUACCUUAUAUAUGAAGAUUUUUUACACGCCUUUAUGUGUGUACAUGUUGCAUCAUAUGUUUGACUUCAUUUAGAUUUAACCUUUUGAUUACAAAAAUUAGAUGCCAAGGGUUAUCCAAUUGUAAAGCUUAUGAUGUAAGGGAAUUGUUAUGUAUUAGGACUUAGGAGUGAUUCUCUUUUUGUGUUGUAGGUAUCACUACAAUGUGUCAAGUUCAAGGUUACUGCAGCACAUUGACAAAGGAAAUGAGGAUGGUUUAUUUGUUAGCAGUGUUGCUUCAUCUCAGGACCUAUGGGCCUUAGUCAUGGAUGCGGGGACAGGUUUUACUUCCCAAGUUUAUGAACUCUCCCCCCAAUUUUUCCAUAAGGUAAAUUUUUCUACUUAUGGAUUAUUGAAAUUUUCUGCUUAGCACACGAUAUAUGCAUACUUGUAGAUCUGUUAAUACUCGUAAUUUCAAGGCCUGUUUAUUAUUAACACGGCACUUCCGUUUCUGUUUUUUUUAAGGAAUGGAUCAUGGAGCAGUGGGAAAAAAAUUACUAUAUCAGUGCAGUUGCAGGAGUUGAAAAUGGAAGUUCACUAGUAGUAAUGUCUAAAGGUUGGUUUCGUUUCAGUUUACAAAAAUUAGAUGCCAAGGGUUAUCCAAUUGUAAAGCUUAUGAUGUAAGGGAAUUGUUAUGUAUUAGGACUUAGGAGUGAUUCUCUUUUUGUGUUGUAGGUAUCACUACAAUGUGUCAAGUUCAAGGUUACUGCAGCACAUUGACAAAGGAAAUGAGGAUGGUUUAUUUGUUAGCAGUGUUGCUUCAUCUCAGGACCUAUGGGCCUUAGUCAUGGAUGCGGGGACAGGUUUUACUUCCCAAGUUUAUGAACUCUCCCCCCAAUUUUUCCAUAAGGUAAAUUUUUCUACUUAUGGAUUAUUGAAAUUUUCUGCUUAGCACAC